rnacentral:rRNA from 1 species
CCUACGGGAGGCAGCAGUGGGGAAUCUUCGGCAAUGGGCGCAAGCCUGACCGAGCGACGCCGCGUGGAGGACGAAGGCCUUCGGGUUGUAAACUCCUUUUCAGGGGGAAGAAUAAGUCCGGGAGGCAAUGCCCGGGCGAUGACGGUACCCCUGGAAUAAGCCACGGCUAACUCUGUGCCAGCAGCCGCGGUAAGACAGAGGCGGCGAGCGUUACCCGGAUUCACUGGGCGUAAAGGGUGCGUAGGCGGUCGCGCAUGUCGGCGGUGAAAUCCCCCGGCUCAACGGGGAGAGGGCGGACGAAACUGCGCGGCUGGAGGGCCGGAGAGGGAGGCGGAACUUCCAGAGUAGCGGUGAAAUGCGUAGAUACGGGAAGGUACCCCAAUAGCGAAGGCAGCCCCCGGGCCGGUUCCUGACGCUGAGGCACGAAAGCGUGGGGAGCAAACCGGAUUAGAUCCCCCUGUAGU